UCCGUAGGUGAACCUGCGGAUGGAUCAUUACCAAUUUUUAUUAUUAGUUUGGAAUAGUCUCUCGGUCAAACGGGAGGUCUAUUGCAACACUACUAAUGUAAACGUUGAACUAGAUCAUUGGUGUGGAUUGUUUGGGAAUGGAAGAAGCGACAAGCCUCUUCCGGACAGGCAAACCCCACAUCGAUAACCUUUUUUCAUACUAAUUACAACUUAGUACAUACUACAAACAAACAAACAAAAGUUUCUAAUAGGACUUAUAUACAAGUUGAGUGGGUAAAAGCCUCAGCUUUAAAACUAAUAACUAUUACAACUUUCAGCAAUGGAUCUCUAGGCUCUCGCAUCGAUGAAGAACGCAGCGAAUUGCGAAACGUAAUGUGACUUGCAACUCUCGUGAAUCAUCGAAUCUUUGAACGCAUCUUGCACUAUUCGGCUUCCCCGGAUAGUAUGCCUGGUUGAGUGUCUGUGUAUCUCUCCUAAUAACAAUUUUGUGUUGUUAAUAGGGACUUGGGGUCUUAAUCUCGUCGGAAACCUUCAUUGGUAACCGGUGAACCCUUUAAAUAUAGUAAGCUCCCAUCUUUUCCACUAUGGAAAUACGCAAACUUGGGGAUGGCGUCGUAGCAAUCUUUUGUAUUGUCGAAGCGCCUACAACAUACCUCUAAUCUGCGGUGCUAAUCCAUACUAGGUGGGCGAAGCUUAACGACUGGCAAAGUGCCAUGCUCUGUUUACACUGGAGCACACGAACAACAAUGACCUCAACUCAGGUAGGACGACCCGCUGGACUUAAGCAUAUUAAUAAGCGGAGGAGAAGAAACUAACCAGGAUUCCCUUAGUAACUGCGAGUGAAGCGGGAAAAGCUCAAAUUUGGAAUCUGGGUAGGCAACGCCAGCUCUUACCCCGAAUUGUAAUUUAUAGAGGUGUGAUCCGUCAGGCGGCAUGCUUUGGUCCAAGUCAGGUGGAAUCCUGUGCCAUAGAGGGUGAUAGCCCCGUAGGACCUUGUGCUGACCGUCCGCUGUGACAUGCCUUCAACGAGUCGGAAUGUUUGGGAUUGCAUUCCUAAAUGGGUGGUAAGCUCCAUCUAAAGCUAAAUACUGGCGAGAGACCGAUAGCGAACAAGUACCGUGAGGGAAAGAUGAAAAGCACUCUGAAGAGAGAGUGAAAUAGUACGUGAAAUUGCUGAAAGGGAAACGCUUGAAGU
rnacentral:sRNA from 1 species